AGAGUUUGAUCAUGGCUCAGAUUGAACGCUGGCGGCAGGCCUAACACAUGCAAGUCGAACGGUAACAGGAAGCAGCUUGCUGCUUCGCUGACGAGUGGCGGACGGGUGAGUAAUGUCUGGGAAGCUGCCUGAUGGAGGGGGAUAACUACUGGAAACGGUAGCUAAUACCGCAUAAUGUCGCAAGACCAAAGAGGGGGACCUUCGGGCCUCUUGCCAUCGGAUGUGCCCAGAUGGGAUUAGCUUGUUGGUGGGGUAACGGCUCACCAAGGCGACGAUCCCUAGCUGGUCUGAGAGGAUGACCAGCCACACUGGAACUGAGACACGGUCCAGACUCCUACGGGAGGCAGCAGUGGGGAAUAUCGCACAAUGGGCGCAAGCCUGAUGCAGCCAUGCCGCGUGUAUGAAGAAGGCCUUCGGGUUGUAAAGUACUUUCAGCGGGGAGGAAGGGAGUAAAGUUAAUACCUUUGCUCAUUGACGUUACCCGCAGAAGAAGCACCGGCUAACUCCGUGCCAGCAGCCGCGGUAAUACGGAGGGUGCAAGCGUUAAUCGGAAUUACUGGGCGUAAAGCGCACGCAGGCGGUUUGUUAAGUCAGAUGUGAAAUCCCCGGGCUCAACCUGGGAACUGCAUCUGAUACUGGCAAGCUUGAGUCUCGUAGAGGGGGGUAGAAUUCCAGGUGUAGCGGUGAAAUGCGUAGAGAUCUGGAGGAAUACCGGUGGCGAAGGCGGCCCCCUGGACGAAGACUGACGCUCAGGUGCGAAAGCGUGGGGAGCAAACAGGAUUAGAUACCCUGGUAGUCCACGCCGUAAACGAUGUCGACUUGGAGGUUGUGCCCUUGAGGCGUGGCUUCCGGAGCUAACGCGUUAAGUCGACCGCCUGGGGAGUACGGCCGCAAGGUUAAAACUCAAAUGAAUUGACGGGGGCCCGCACAAGCGGUGGAGCAUGUGGUUUAAUUCGAUCCAACGCGAAGAACCUUACCUGGUCUUGACAUCCACGGAAGUUUUCAGAGAUGAGAAUGUGCCUUCGGGAACCGUGAGACAGGUGCUGCAUGGCUGUCGUCAGCUCGUGUUGUGAAAUGUUGGGUUAAGUCCCGCAACGAGCGCAACCCUUAUCCUUUGUUGCCAGCGGUCCGGCCGGGAACUCAAAGGAGGCUGCCAGUGAUAAACUGGAGGAAGGUGGGGAUGACGUCAAGUCAUCAUGGCCCUUACGACCAGGGCUACACACGUGCUACAAUGGCGCAUACAAAGAGAAGCGACCUCGCGAGAGCAAGCGGACCUCAUAAAGUGCGUCGUAGUCCGGAUUGGAGUCUGCAACUCGACUCCAUGAAGUCGGAAUCGCUAGUAAUCGUGGAUCAGAAUGCCACGGUGAAUACGUUCCCGGGCCUUGUACACACCGCCCGUCACACCAUGGGAGUGGGUUGCAAAAGAAGUAGGUAGCUUAACCUUCGGGAGGGCGCUUACCACUUUGUGAUUCAUGACUGGGGUGAAGUCGUAACAAGGUA
rnacentral:rRNA from 1 species